rnacentral:rRNA from 1 species
UACGAAGGGGGCUAGCGUUGCUCGGAAUCACUGGGCGUAAAGGGUGUGUAGGCGGGUCUUUAAGUCAGGGGUGAAAUCCUGGAGCUCAACUCCAGAACUGCCUUUGAUACUGAAGAUUUUGAGUUCGGGAGAGGUGAGUGGAACUGCGAGUGUAGAGGUGAAAUUCGUAGAUAUUCGCAAGAACACCAGUGGCGAAGGCGGCUCACUGGCCCGAUACUGACGCUGAGGCACGAAAGCGUGGGGAGCAAACAGG